rnacentral:lncRNA from 1 species
CUUUGAAAAAUUUAAACUAUAAAAUAUCCUCUUAUUAGAUAUAAUACUUUUUCCAGGGAUUUACACCUUUUCCCUUUCACCUUUUUUACUGGUUCCAAACUUCCUCUUAUCUUUUAGAAAUGCUCAGCAAAUAGUUCUGUUGUUUAGUAAGCAAGGAGAUGAGCUCGGAGCUUGUUUACAGCUGUUACUGCGCACUUAAUAUUUUCUUCUGAAAUGCCUCUCUCUCUCCCAGCAGCCCUGCAGGACAAACAGAAAGUGCAUUGAAGGUACAGUGAUUGAUCUGGGGGAUACAGGAGGGAGCCCCAUUUUUAUCCUAAGGAGACUAAGAUGAUGGAUUAGAAUGAGGUCUGUUUUUGGAAGAGGUGAACCAGGAUCACCUGGAGAACAGGCACACGUGAGAGCCCCAGGGAGUUAUUUUCUUUGCCUCACCUGGAGCUACCUCCUCCUUCAGUGGCCAUUUCCUUCAAGGACCAAGAGACCUCCUCAGAUGAGGUGUGCAUGUAUCUUCGGGGAAGGUUAUAAGUUUGGCUGUGUCCCAACAUGCUCUGAGGCAGAGGUUUGGGGCUUAGCCAGUCAGACUUCCUUUUUACCUGUCUAACUGAGACUUCCCAGCAGAGCUCUGGAAAGUCAGAGAAAAUGUCACCUGGAGUGUUUGAGCAAGCAGAAACAGGAUGUAUUUCACAUCGAAGGUAAUUACAUGGUGGGUGUGUAGUAAAGGGGACUGAAGCAGUUGAAGUCACACAACAGAGAUGCCUCCGAUUGGGUGAGGAAUGUUUCUCUGUCAUGGAUAAAUAUUUUGCAGCAGUUACCUGGGUGAAAACCAGCUUCCUGUAAAGGACUGAUUUAAAAAAUAAAUAAAUAAAUAAAUACUCUUGAGGGCUGAGUGCUCUGUAAUUAUUUCCCAGCUAAUGGUACCAACUCAACUUUAUGCAAAGGGAAGUUUCAAAAACAAUCUUCAUCCUUCAAGGACCAUUCCCAAGUGUGUAACUAUUGCUUCACAGCUUCAGAGCUGAGAACCACUUGUUCCCUUGUUCUUCAAACAGAAUUCACAGCUACAGAACCCUCCUUAAAAAAAGAAAGCCAUUUAAUUUAACCCUCAUAAUGGAGCUGAAAGUCCUGUGUGUGAUCUUAGAAGGCAGAAGGCUCAAGACUGAGAUCCUUGGCCAGGGAACUUCUGUAAGCUGUUGUUUUCACCUCCAUAAACAAGAUAAUAAUAUGUCUAUUUCUACUAGGUGUAGUGAAGUUCAAGUGGGAUUGUGUUCCAUUAGGCAACAAACAUUGAGUGUUGGUUAUGUACUUGGUACUAUGCUAGAUGCUGGGAACAAAAAAUGAAAGGAUCCUUCAGCCUCAAGAACUCCCUGUGUAGAGGGGACAGACCCUUCAACGAGUGACCUGUUCCAUACUAAGGGGUACCCAUGGGGGCACAAGUCCAUUCCUUGGACAGGACCCCAGGAGGCCCACGGGCAUCACCCUGGAAUGACAGCACGUGGGAGGUGGCCCCAGGCUGGGUCUUGAAGGUGUGUAGGUCCACCGGAAACAGACGGGGACGGCCGGAGGAGAACCGCGGUGGGUGUGAAGCAGCGUGGGGGUUACCCGCAGCCCUCUCGGGUGGCUCAGAAUUACCCGGGACACAGGACAGGGUGGGGGCGGGAAGAUGAAGCUAGGGAGGAGAGGAGGGAAGGCAGGGUGGGCAGAGCCAGCCUGUGCGCUGCCGGUGACUCGCCUGGGUUUCCUGCUGCAGGGCCAGCACUGGAGGAAGGAAUAUUGGCAAGGUUGAGAAGGGAAGGGGACGGCUGAGGCUGUCCCGGUUUGCCCUCAUCAUGUAACAUGGAGCCGGUCGACGGCUGCCCAGCCAGCUAUGUAGAGCAGGCCUCCUCUGGACCUUGAUCACUCCCGAAUCUGCUCCUUUAUAGAGUCAGGUACCUAUUUUAAGUGACUUCUCGCAGCCGUCCGCCUGUCCUUCCCAUCCCAUGCCCUCACCCUGCCUUGGACUUGUCCUCAGUCAGGAUCACGGAAGUGCUGGACCACACCGCCAGGGCGCCGUGUGCAUAGUUCCCACUCCCUUAUUCUCGCGAGAGUUCCCAGGCCCCAGACAAGGCUGCCCCUUGAAUCUCAGCAUCCCACUGUCUCCAUCGCUGUGAUUCUAUGGUUUCCCCGCCCUCCUUGACGUUGCCUCCAGCAAACUGUGACAGGAGAGGUCUUAGGUCUCAUAAGAGGUCAGGAGCCGACUUCCCAACAACCAGCUGCGAAAGGAGCUUGCUGGUUCUACUCCCUUUCUUACCUUCAGAGACAAUAAAACAUCGUGCCCACUGCCCUCCCUGCCUUGAAUAUCUGACUGCUUAAUAUUAACAGCUUAAUGAAAAACAUUCUGUCA